GGGAUUUUUUGCAAACCCCUGACAUUUUAUCUUGAUGUCGACAGGUAAAACAGAUAGUGCAGUUGGAGCUCACCACCGUCGCCACCUGCACGGUCGCCGACGCCAACAUCCCCUCGUGCGCCGCCAGGGUUCAGCCGCGGUUUGCUACCUUCGGCCCAACGGCUGUUGCUCCAGGAUUCGAGGUCCACGCCGAAGCUCGAGCAGUAGAUUUCCUUGAGCCUUCCUUCGAUAAUUCUCUGGAGGAAAUCCCUGGCCGCAUCUUCGGACCGCUGCGGCCCCUUGGUCUGCUUACGGUUGUGACCAAGACCAGGACAGAGACGGUGGUCACUGCCACGGUCAGCCACCCGUCGAACACCGUGACCAUCUCCGUCGCUGGCUGCCGCCCCGGGAACUUCGCCUUCAGCGCCGCCGCCUGCAUGCCCUGAGGGAUGUGGCGACGUCAUGCCCUGAUUUGCAAUGGCUUAAUUCUACUGACCGUCUGACAAAAUUAUUAUAAUUGACACAUUUGGAACUUAUAACAGAGAAAAAAUAUCCAAAAAAAAACUGACGUUAUUUAUUGGAAGCACUCUAAAUACAACUGUAGUGUUAAUACUGUA